rnacentral:rRNA from 1 species
GACGAACGCUGGCGGCGUGCUUAACACAUGCAAGUCGAACGGAAAGGCCUGCUUUCCCUUGUGGAUUGCGGGUACUUGAGUGGCGAACGGGUGAGUAACACGUGAGUGAUCUGCCCCCAACUUGGGUAUAAGCCUGGGAAACUGGGUCUAAUUCCCGAUAGGACUGCAGGGUGGUGCCUGUGGUGGAAAACGAUUUUUAGGGGGUUGGGGAUGAGCUGGCGGCUUAUCAGCUUGUUGGUGGGGAAAUGGCUUACCAGGGGGGGGACGGGUAGCCGGCCUGGGAGGGUGGACGGGCACAUUGGGACUGAGAUACGGCCCAGACUCCUACGGGAGGCAGCAGUGGGGAAGAUUGCACAAUGGGCGGAAGCCUGAUGCAGCGACGCCGCGUGGGGGAUGACGGCCUUCGGGUUGUAAACUCCUUUCGACCGCGAGGAAGCCACCUGGUUGGAAGGGUGGUGACGGUAGUGGUAGAAGAAGCACCGGCUAACUACGUG